AAAGGGCGCGUAGGCGGUACCAUAAGUCAGAUGUGAAAGCCCUGGGCUUAACCUAGGAGGUGCAUUUGAUACUGUGGAACUAGAGAUCGAGAGAGGAAAGUGGAAUUACGAGUGUAGAGGUGAAAUUCGUAGAUAUUCGUAAGAACACCAGUGGCGAAGGCGACUUUCUGGCUCGAUACUGACGCUAAGGCGCGAAAGCGUGGGGAGCAAACAGGAUUAGAUACCCUAGU
rnacentral:rRNA from 1 species